rnacentral:ncRNA from 1 species
GGGGUGAGAGGCUCCCAGCCAGACUACUGGGUUGAUAGGCCGGAUGUGGAAGCGUAGUAAUACGUGAAGCUGACCGGUACUAAUAAGCCGAUGACUUGAUAAC